rnacentral:rRNA from 1 species
UACGUAGGGACCAAGCGUUGUUCGGAUUUACUGGGCGUAAAGGGUGCGUAGUUGGCCGGUUAAGUCUGACGUGAAAUCUCCGAGCCUAACUCGGAAACUGCAUCGGAAACUAUCCGGCUCGAGGGUUGGAGGGGGGACUGGAAUACUUGGUGUAGCAGUGAAAUGCGUAGAUAUCAAGUGGAACACCAGUGGCGAAGGCGAGUCCCUGGACAACUCCUGACACUGAGGCACGAAAGCUAGGGGAGCAAACAGG